CCUCCCUCAGCGCUGAAGAGGUUAAAACCCUUUCAGUCACUUACCCAAAUCCAGUGCCGAUGUCCCUCGGGGCUGGGACAGGCUCUGCCCAUGCUCCUCCCCCAUCCGACAUCAGCCAGGGAGUAAGACUUAAUGCGCAUGCGCAGCAAUGGCCACGCUCACGUUAGGAUUUCCCUAUAGGAAAGCAUUAGUCAAAGCUUUCCUAUGGGGGGAAAAAAUCUGACGC